GACGAACGCUGGCGGCGUGCCUAAUACAUGCAAGUAGGACGCAGUUGCGCACGGGUGAGUAACGCGUAGGUAACUGCCUCUUAGAGGGGGAUAAAUAUUGGAAACGAUAGCUAAUACCGCAUACUAGUAGAUGGCCCUGCGUUUUAUUAGCUAGUAGGUAGGGGAAUGGCCUACCUAGGCGACGAUACAUAGCCGACCGGUGAGGGUGAUCGGCCAACCAGGGACUGAGACACGGCCCAGACUCCUACGGGCGGCAGCAGGAGGGAAACUUCGGCAAUGGGGGGAACCCUUACCUAGCAACGCCGCGUGAGGGAAGAAGGUUUUCGGAUCGUAAAGCUCUGGUGUUAAGGAAGCGGUACUUAACCAGAAAGGGACGGCUAACUACGUGCCAGCAGCCGCGGUAAUAC
rnacentral:rRNA from 1 species